rnacentral:rRNA from 1 species
GGACCCGCACAAGUAGCGGAGCAUGUGGUUUAAUUCGAAGCAACGCGAAAAACCUUACCAGGUCUUGACAUCCUCUUGAAAAGCGCUUAGCCGCGCUCCUCCUUCGGGACAAGAGAGACAGGUGGUGCAUGGUUGUCGUCAGCUCGUGUCGUGAGAUGUUGGGUUAAGUCCCGCAACGAGCGCAACCCUUGUCUUUAGUUGCCAUCAGUUAGGCUGGGCACUCUAGAGAGACUGCCGUGGACAACACGGAGGAAGGUGGGGAUGACGUCAAAUCAUCAUGCCCCUUAUGAUCUGGGCUACACACGUGCUACAAUGGCCGGUACAACGGGCAGCGAAGGAGUGAUCUGGAGCGAAUCCUAAUAAGCCGGUCCCAGUUCGGAUUGUAGGCUGCAACUCGCCUACAUGAAGUUGGAGUUACUAGUAAUCGCGAAUCAGCAUGUCGCGGUGAAUGCGUUCCCGGGUCUU